UGACUUCCCACACAUCCGCGCGCACAUUCGCCUCUCUCCUGCCCCCCGUCCCCCACUCCCUCGCUCAGCUGUUCUCCCCUUCGUUUGCUUCCCGUGUGCGUGUGCUUCCGUAUUCGCCCCCUCCCCCCUCCUCCCCCCAUCCUCCCUUCGCCGCACUCACUCACCUCAGUUCACUAGAAGAUGCUGAUGGAAACACAGAUUAGCCGCUCCCUCAUCGAGAGGGAGCGACGCACCGAGUCUGUCUUCCGCCCGCCCAAGUUCGUGAAGUGCAUGCCGCCACAUAAGAAAACACUCACGGCUACGGCUCGCCCGUGGUACCCGACGGGCGCCGAUGUGGAGAAGAAGCCGCUGACUCCUCCUCGCCUUAUCCUGGCACCACCCACCGCGCUAGGACAGUCACCAGACGUCAAACCAAAAAGCGCGCCUGUGCUGGCACCGCUGACAGACUUGUCGAUGCAGAGUCUGCAAAGCAGCCUGUUCUCUCCGCUCAGCACUCCCGUGCACACCUUCUUCCACAACAUCACGGAGGUGGCGACGGCGGCGCGCGUGUAUCCGGUGGAGAUGUUCAUGUCGGUCCGGAAGGAUGCCUCGCACACGCCACACGGCGUGCUCCGCUGGUGUGUGCAGCAGUACCUGGAGGUGCCCACGCUAAAGGUGCCGACGCACCUGCAGCUGUCAAUGAGCGAGGUGCUCAACUCGGAGGACGGCAUUAGCCGCGGCGCGCUGGGCUCCGGCUUGAAGGGCAAAACACGCGCGAAGCCGGUGCGACAGGUGCACCACAAGGUAAUGUCGGUGCUCAGCCGCAUCACGCCGCAGAAGUUCACGGAGCUGCUUCAGGAGCUGAUGCAGCUCCCGCUGCGUCAAACGGACGAAUCUGAACUGCACGAGGUAGUCAAGGUGUUCUUUGACAAGGCCGUGCAGGAGCCGGAGUACAGUGAGCUCUACGCGCGCCUCUUCAGUGAGCUGUGCGAGAUGAAGGAUGGCGAGCGCGAGUUGGAGGCGGAGCUGCGCGACCGCCUCUUCUGCAACCGCAUCAACCGCGAGCUGCUCCACACCUGCGACGAGGAGUUCCACCGCCCCAUCGAGCUGACUGCCGACGAGAAGGUCGACCGCACCACUGGCAAGCCCUACAGCGAGGAGGAGGUGGACAUGAAGCGCACCCGCCUGAAGAACCGUCUCGUUGGCAACAUCAAGUUCCUGGGCGAGCUUUUCAAGAUCAACCUCGUGACGGAGCGCGUCGUGGAAAAUAUGUUCAAGCUGCUCGUCGGCGACUUUGACCCGAGCAACCCUGUCGAGCGCGAGGACUACAUCUUUGAGGUCUUCUCGACGCUGAUCCGCACGGUCGGGCCGAUUCUAAAGGAGCGCCGCCCGUUAGUGCUGGCACGCUACCUAGGUGUAGCCAAGGCGGUCGAGAACUCGCACCCGCGCCCCCGCAUCCGCUUCCUCAUGAUGGACCUGAGUGACCUCAACAGGAAGCAGGGGUGGGUCUCCACCGAGCGAGUGAUGCGUGAGGCGGACUCGUGCGACGACCUGCAGCGCUCGUCGUCCAUGAAGCACGUCGACAGCGUGGCCAGCACCUCCUUCCUGCAGUCCUCCAUCAUGAGCCCGAGCGAGGACAACACGAUGCAGCGCUGCGACUUUGUACUUCCUCGACCAGUCUCCGUCGCGUUCCGCGAUAACUCCGGUUUCGGCACCAGCAUCACUAUCUCUCCCUCCACACCCAGCAACAGUCCCACCUUGUCGCGCGCCUACGUCCCGCCGAAGCCGACCGCGCUGGGCCCUUCGCAUUUGCGCCCCUCCUACAACGCGCCUGUGCAGAGCUCCAUGCCGGAGCGGCGGUCCCCGGCCUCUGCCUAUAUUCGCCCGUCGAUCAACCUGCCCGCCUCUCACUCCCUCAGCAACGCCCCGCCGCAUUCCUCGCUGCCGCGCUGCCGCACCUCGAUGGCGGGCGCGACGGAGGUGGUCAACAUUCAGGAGGUGACGCAGCAGCUCAUACAAAACUUCAACGAUCCCAGGGAGGAGGCGACCGUGCUGAAUGGCAUUAGCGCGAUGAGCCUCAAGAACAAGGUGCUGUGCCUGACAUGGUGGCUGCGGCAGGUGACCACCGAUACCUCACGCUUCGAAGAGCGGCAACGCAUCACAGAGCUGCUCUCCUCGAUACUCACCUCUUGCCCUUCUUUCCAGCCCAGCGACUUGAUCUCCGCCAUCAUCGAGUGGAUCCGCUUCGAUAUUGAGAAGGCGGAAUACCACCAAUGCCCCCGCAUGUUCGAGAACAUGGGUCACAUGAUCCAGCGCUGCUACGCUGCCGAUGUGUCUACGCUGCCGAACAUCAGCGAGGUGCAGAACCUGCUGCAUCUAGGCCUCUUCAACGUCAUGCUGCACGACCUGACCACUUCGAAUGGCACGGACCAGAUGGUUACCCUUGUCAAGAGCGCCUUUUCGAUUGGUGUGUCGCUGCUGAACACGAUCGCCGACCGGAAGAGUGAGGCGGCGACGCUGCGCGUGGCGCUGCAGUGCCGCUUCCGGCUACUGCCAUACUUCUUCAGUGUCAGCAACCUCUCAGAGACCGGCAUUCCAUGCACCACACCCCAGUGCCGCACACCGACGACGCCGAACACGCGCAAUAUCCCGCAGAUGGAGUCCAUCAGCAGCGUUGGUCACUAUGACCCACUGUCCCAGUGUAUGCUGUUUCACAAGGUGACCGACGAUGCCGAGUUUGUCGUGCUGCGCCGCGCCCGUGUCGAUGCCAGCGAGCGCACCGCGGCAUGGAAGGAGGCUUUGGUGAGCCUCGCCCUCGCGGAGACCGGCAACGGCUCCACUGUCUCGCAGCUUGUUCAGAUGGCCAAGGUGAUCGGUGCUCUCCUGGCAUGCUCUACUGUGUCGGUGAACGGCACGAACUUGCUGUCGGCCACCGAGGUGGACGAGCUUGUGGGCGAGAUGCUGAAGCGCCGCUCUGGCCCGCUGUUCCAGGCCAUGGCCGCCAUGGAAGUCAUUAUGCACCACACGCUGUCCGUCUCCGGCUCGAACCCGCGCAAGAGUAUCCGCGUCCGGCAGCUGCGCCUCAUGUACUCCCGCUGGUGCACGCUUAACAUAUUUGACACGACGGUCGUCAUGAACCUGCUGCAGAGCCUGCAUGCACCGGAGAACGGUGCCAGCGUCUAUGCCGUGUACCACAACGCCCUUGUCGAUGCAGAGCUGCCGUGGGCCACCGUCCUCACAUACUUAUCGUAAAAGAAGAAAAGACACCAACGUGUGUACUGUCAUACGCACACAGACAAGUAAGCAACCCACACGGCUCUACGCGUGCGUGGGAAAUCGUGAGCGUGUGCGUGAGAGUGAUAGAUAAGGAGAAAGUAACAAAGCCUGCGUGGGGCUAACAUAACAACACACAUUGCCUUCACCAACGAAACAAGUGAGCGCCAUACCGCUCACCGGCACUGUGCUGCACGGCUCUCUCUUUUGUUUCAUUUUUCAUUUGCGUUCCUCUUUUCCUCGUCUCCUUUCUUUUUUUUUCUUGCAACUGUUCUUUUUCCCUUCCCUCCCCCUCAUGACUGCCUUCCUCACAUGCUCCCUCACUUGGCACUGCGCUUUCUACGUAACUCGCUCUCUCCCCUCUCCGAUGAUCAUCGCGGUGCCGAAGCGAAAGGAGAAGGUAAGGGCAGAGCCACAGCAGCGGCAGCAGCAGGAGACAGAGAGGGCUACAGCUAAGGGCGAAGGCUGUGCAGCACAGUGCGAGUUCGUGUCUUCUUGUUGGCUCCCAUGUUCUUUGUACAAAUCAUAAAAACACAAUGUAAGCACCCGAUCCGUUCAAGCCAGCGUACAGCUCCCUCACUUUCUUCUCCACAUCUCUGCCUCUGCGUGGUGAAGCAAUAACUGAAGAGGACGGGUGGGGGGAGGGCGAAAAGGCGGCGAAAGGUUGGCCAAGUCGAUGCCGCCACGCCGUAAGGGGAAAGGUAAAACGGAAAGCCGUACGGUGGCCAGCUCGCAGGCCGCAGGGAUGGAGAGGGGAGAGCAUGUGAGGAGUAUAACACUGGCGAAGGGCAAAGCGGAUGCGUAGGGAGUGGGCGAAAGGAGAGACUGAGCAGGAGAGUUCUUCUCUCGCAUUUCUCUUUCCCUCCGCGUUCACACAGUCUCCCAACGCCAACGCCAGCAUCUCCACACCUGCGCGUGUGACCGGAUGCUCCAGCAAAGGGAGGGUGAUCGCACGGCUUCAACUCCCAAGGAGGGUGCGAUGGCAAAAGACAGGAAGGCGGUGACGGGGGUGGUGGUGGAAGAGAGAAAGCGAGAUGCAGAGUCGAGAUGUGAACGACGAGUGGAUCGAUGUGACCUUUUCGAUGUUCUUUCCCUCUCGGUUUCUCUCCUUCUCUUUUGUGCCCCUUCGUCUCUCUGACUUCGCGUGCCACAUGCCUCCCGGUGUGUAUGACUGUUGUGCAUCGCCUUGUACCUGUUUUGUGUUAUCUUGGGCUACCCUCCUUCUCUCCCUCUCUUUCCCUCUCUGCGUGUGCGUGCCUGUGUGUCUCGUGCUACGCCAGUUCUCACCUGCGUCCUUCGGCCGUCAGCUCAUGCUUUCGAUCUCUUCGCUCGCUCUUUUUUUUUGUUUGCGUCUUUCCCGCGGCUGUUUUUUUUUUUUCGUUUUCGACAUCAAAAAAAAAAAACAAAUGUGCGGCGGCUUUUUUUCUUCUUUUUUUCUCUAUUUGAGUGUGCUCCCCCGGCGCCUCCCUCGAUGCGGAUUUCUGUGGCGCUGUGCUGCGCGCAACCCUGCUUGUGUUUGAGGUUCUGCUCUCUCUCGCACGUACACGCUUGCCGCCUCCUUCCGUUACUAUUUUUCGCCUUCACCACCGCCACUUCCUCCUUUCGAUUGAGCUUUUUGUUUUCUCCUUCUGCCUGCUUUCCACGACUGUAUUUUAUGCGUUUUUGUGCUCCGUUUGGGUUUCUGUCGUCUUCGAUGCCGCGGCCAUCCCGUUAACCUUCCUCUCCCUCCUUGUCUCUCCACUGAUAAGGGCACACAGCACGUGUUUCGCUGCGACUGUCUGGCUUCACGUACUGGAUGCUGUUUUGCGAACAAAGGAGGGCAGCGGAACCUGAAUUUGAAAGUGGAGGUGGAGAAGCGUACGCUGGAAGGGGAGACUCUAUAGAAGAAGAAAAAGGAAACCGGCGCGCAAAGACAGCAGCGGUGCACGUGAUAGCGAAGGUGCACAUGACUCGAACUUUUUUAUCCGCUAUUUCAGUUCGGUGUGUUGCUGCGCUCCGCUUUCUGCGACGCGGUUCCACCAACCUCUGCGAUUCCUGUGCUCCCACGCCACCACUGACAAACACUCACAUACCCACACCCCACCGCUGGACAUGCAAGCUAAGUAAAACGGAGAGUAGUGACGGAAAGUGUGGGCGAAAAGGCUGAAUUAAGAGCCAUGGGGCUCUCCCCCUUUUCUCUACUCGAACGCAGUGUUUCGGCCUUCAUUCGCCAUUCUACGGCCCUCCUGGCUGCGCUAUACUUUUCAGUUCACUGCAGCAAAGGUGAGGGUGAACAACAAAAAGCGGGAAUAGGGACGAAGCGAAACAAAGAGCCCCCCUCUCUCCCUUUUACGUGUACUCGUGUCAGUACCAUCAUGCGUCGCCAUGUCGCUUUCUCUCUCUCAUUGCUUUUGCCGAUGACGCGGCUCUUUUUUGCUCCCAUCGCACACUCACCUCUACACACGUAGACUGCCUGACUGACUGACGUUGCUGUCUCCUUCUUCCUUUCUCUCUUUUCCUUUUGUUUGUUCUUGGUUUAUCAUUUCACUUUAAAUUUUUUUCUCUUGAUGGUUCAGUUACGGAGUGCGUGUGCGUAUGUCUACACUAGAGUGUGCGUGGCGAUGCGUGCCGUCCCCCUCCUCCUGCGUGGCUCUCUGUGUCCCUGUACCUCUCUCGUUUCAUAUUGUCGACUUUCAGGAAGUGACUUGAAGAAAACAAAAAACGAACACGAGCACUUACGCUUCAAUCAACCCGGCACUUUUUUCUUCGCUAUUUGUGUGUGUGCGUGUGUUUCGUCUUCUUUCCUCCCCUUCUCUGUUUGCGCGUUCGCAGAGACUGCAACAGGACCCGCACCCUCCCAUGCCCGCGCUUUCUCUCUUUGGACCGCUCUCUCUCCCGUCUACCGCGUUACGGUCUUUGAUCUCUGUCGUGUGCACCACUCGCUUCUCUCCCUGCGCCCCCACAG
rnacentral:misc_RNA from 1 species